GGGGAUUCGUCUCUAUACUGCGUUCGCGCGCUCGAUGGGAGCUCCGUCCCUGCAUUUACCGGCGGACGGCUGAGUAACACGUGGGUAACCUGCCUGUAAAACUGGCACAACUCCGGGAAACCGGGGCUAAUACCGGAUGCUUGAUUGAACCGCCUGGUUGCUAGUAAAAGGUGGCUUUUCGGUCCCCUAAAAAUUUUCGGAGCGCCCGCCCUUUGGCCCGUUGAGUUACCGGGCAACCUGGCGCCGAACGCUUUCCAUUUAAGGAUGGUUCAACCCUAAAACCAGACCCAACUUAAAAAACCUAAAUCGGGGGGCACCAUUAGGGAAUUCUUCCGCAUGGAACGAAAUCCUGACGAACCACCGCCGCUUGAGUGAUAAAGGUUUUCGAAUCGUAAAACUCGGUUGUUAGGAAAAACCAAGUACCGUUCAAUUAGGGGGGUACCUUGCCGGUACCUAACCAGAAGGCCACGGUUAACUCCGGCCCAGCAGCGCGGUAAUACGUAGGUGGCAAGCGUUGCCCGAAAUUAUGGGGCGUAAAGCGCGCGCAGGCGGUUUCUUAAGUCUGAUGUGAAAGCCCCCGGCUCAACCGGGGAGGGCCAUGGAAAACUGGGGAACUUGAGUGCAGAAAAGGAGAGUGCAAUUCCACGUGUAGCGGUGAAAUGCGUAGAGAUGUGAAGGAACACAAGUGCCGAAGGCGACUCUCUGGUCUGUACUGACGCUGAGGCGCGAAAGCGUGGGGAGCCAACAGGAUCAGAUACCCUGGUAGUCCACGCCGUAAACGAUGAGUGCUAGUGUAGAGGUUUCCGCCUUAUGCUGCAGCAACGCAUAGCACUCGCUGGGGAGUACGUCGCAGACUGAACUCAGAUGACGGGGCCGACAAGCGGUGACAUGGUAAUCGAGCACGGAGACUACAGCCUGGACUCCCUGACACUAGAAUGCUCCCUUAGGGCCAGUGCAGUGGCAUGGUUGUCAGCAGCUCGAGUCGUAACAUGUUGGGUUAAGUCCCGCAACGAGCGCAACCCUUGAUCUUAGUUGCCAGCAUUCAGUUGGGCACUCUAAGGUGACUGCCGGUGACAAACCGGAGGAAGGUGGGGAUGACGUCAAAUCAUCAUGCCCCUUAUGACCUGGGCUACACACGUGCUACAAUGGGCAGAACAAAGGGCAGCGAAGCCGCGAGGCUAAGCCAAUCCCACAAAUCUGUUCUCAUUUCGGAUCGCAGUCUGCAACUCGACUGCGUGAAGCUGGAAUCGCUAGUAAUCGCGGAUCAGCAUGCCGCGGUGAAUACGUUCCCGGGCCUUGUACACACCGCCCGUCACACCACGAGAGUUUGUAACACCCGAAGUCGGUGAGGUAACCUUUUGUAUCCAGCCGCCGAAGGUGGGACUAGAUGAGGGGGGAAGUCCUUCUCUAGGUUUUUCCCAGGG
rnacentral:rRNA from 1 species